AAUUACAUAAAUACUUAUUUACAUUACUAAAGCAUCAAACAUCAGUAACCACUAUUGUUUAGAACAGUUGACUCGUCAAUUUUCAACACAAAAUCAUCAGAUUGUUUUUCUGCUGGUGUGCUUAUGAUGGAGGUUCUUCGAGCCCUCGAGUACUCUUUGAGAAAAUGAGAGGUUGUUUGGAAGCGAGAUGUCAGAAAGCUAGAAACUCGUGAGUUUCGCGAACCUCUUACACUAACGAAUUAUCUCAAAAACACGUGUCGAUAGAAAAAGAUAUACACAUCGUAUUUAAUGGCUCAAUCACAGUGCUUCACGGGUUUCGACCUGACUUAAUUCACCUAGACGUUAGGUCUAUUGGACAAUUAAUUGUAAGUGAGGAGUUUGGAUAAUCUCAUGACUUCCGUACAGGGACGGAGCCAUGUGGGGGCCGACAAUGGCCAUGGCCCCCCCACAUUUUUAAAAUUACAGAACAAUCCACUAGUAAGCUAUUAAAAAAAAUUAAAAUAUUGUAAAUGUAGGGGACCAAAGUGAAAUUUUUUUGAAAAAAAUUGUUGGCUUGUGGGCCAAGACUACAAGGCUUACGCACAGGGACAGCCCAUAUAUAGACCCAAAGGAGCCAUGGCCCUCUUCAACUUUUCAAUAUUUACUUUAUAGUACUUUGGUAGUUUAUAUAUUUUCAGUUAAUUUUUAAAAUAUAUCGGCCUAUUUUGUAAAAAGUUUUUAGUGCUAAUAUAGAGCUCUCUCUCUCUUCUUAUGUGUUUUAUAGGUGAAAAUAUAUUAAGAACCUUUUAAUUAUAGUGCAUUUUGAAAUAAAUCCUUUCAACUUUAAAUAUU
rnacentral:lncRNA from 1 species